rnacentral:miRNA from 1 species
UCCCUGAGUAGCUGCCGUUGA